ACCAACACCCCGCAAUUUUUUUCUCUUCUCUUAUCCCAUGAAAUCGGAACCUGAUGCCUUUCUCUUCCAGUCCCGACCAAAGGCGAUCUUCUUCGAAGAUAUGUCGUCUUCAAACAAAGGCCGGAAAUCUUAUUUCUUUUUUACCUGACCUGUAGAAUGACGAUCCUCUUUUCCUCCUCUUCCCGACCUAGGCCAAUUCAAACAAGAUCCUAUUUUUGUUUCUUAUCUUCCUAAGCUAAAUAAUCAACAUUUUAGAAUUCAUAGGUGGCUACACGAAGACUUCCUAUAUCCAUUUGGCUUAAGCCCCAUUCACAAGAAGCUACCCCGCUCUUUUGGUAAGUUUUGGUAAUUCAGUUCUUACGUUAUUGCUAACUAAGGUAUUUUUUGUUUUGUGCAGUGGAUGCCAUUUUGAAGUUCCUAGUCGAUGCAGCAAUUGACCUAACCACCGAAAAGAUUCGCGCCAAGGAACAAGAAUUGCUAACCGAAUGAGGUUUACCCUUGGCUGCUUCUUCUAACGAGGCUUCGGGACACCACAGAACUGCGCCCAUUGAGGCUACCCCUUUUGGAGAAUUACCCCCCGAUGCGCUUCCAGCGUUGGAGGUUUGUCUGGUGGAGAAGGAUGUCUCCCCAAAGAAAAAACACAAAGGGCGAAAGAUUACCCUUGCCCCUCCUCCCAAGAGGUUAGCGGUCCUCACAGAGACACCUUCUUUACCAUUGCCUUAUGCCUAGGAAGAUUCUGCCUCGAAGGAUACACAAGAACAAUUUCCUGAGCAAACCUUAUCUGUCCUUUAUUCAACCCUCUUUACCCUUGGUCCUGCUCAAACUUGAGAGGACGUUCCUUUGCCGGGCAGUUCUUCAGGCCCAAGCUUCUCCGUGUCCCCUCAUGUAGAGACCACCACUGCUGCCCUCGAGUGGCUUCAUCAAUUAUCCAUUAUUUUUUUCCUUACCUUCUGCCCAAGCUCUACUCGCUUUAACAUCCACGCCUUCUCCUACCCUCCCAAUACUAUUAGGAAAUCGUUUAAUAAAUGCUUGGGAGGAUACAAAAAAUAGACUUAGCGAGCUUACUCCAACAGAGCCGGCAGAUGAAUUCUCUUAUGAACAGACUAAGUGUUGGACAAUUAUCAUGAGCCUUGCUCAACAAAUGUACGACUUGGCUUAGGAGAACGGGUUGCUAAAGCAACGAGUCAUCGAAGCAACUUCCGUGUGUACCUCUGAACGAAUAAAGGAGCUAGAUGCUCAACUACAAGAAGCUCAACAGUUAGCUAAACCAAGCAAGAGAAGGCAACCUAGUGGAAGAUUGCCCUGAAUACUUUUUAAGCUCAACUUCAAUCGAAAACAAGUUCUCGGGUAGAAAUGCAAAAAAAACUGGACGAGCAAAUGACAGAGAACGCACAAUUGUCUGCCCAACUAUAAGAAUUGAAGGCUUCAUAUGCUGUUGAACUAUUUGCCAAAGAAUCCUAACUAGUGACUCAAAAGGCGGAGCGAGAUGCUAUCAGAUCUAAUGACUUCUCAUAUUGAAUCAACAGCCUGGUUGAAAUUGGCAGCCUAUUAGGCAGGAGAGGACGAGCGAUUUGAGGCUAAGAAAAAAGCCUUGUUUCUAACACGUGACUUCAACAUCCCCAUUGCUGACUCCAUUACUAAAGCCCUCUUCCUUGGAGCGGAAGGUGUGAUGAAACAAGUAAAAGAAGGUGGAUGUCUCACCUCCGAUCCUCCUGCCAGUUUUUUGGAUUACCAAAAGAUAACCCAUAGUGUUCCUCCUGAUCGGUUUCCAAACCUAUGGUGAUCUAUCUUGUUCUUCUUUAUUUGUCUUCUUCAAUGAAUUGGAUAUUAAUUUCUAUUGUCCUAAUGUAAGUUUUGGUUGAACCUAUCAGAUAUCUUUUCUUUAAAAUUUGAUUGUGUAACCACUUAUGGUUUUACUUAACACAUGUGCACUAUCUUAAGGAUAAUUUGAAUAUGUUCAGGCGAGAA